AUGGAUCGAGGUUGGAUGAGUCAACCAAGAGCUAGUGCUGCUUACAAAGAUGGUGUCGAGCAAUUUCUGUCUUUUGCAUUCCAUGAUGUUCCGGCUGGUGAUAGAAUUCUCUGUCCUUGUGUAAAUUGCCGAAAUAAAGCUAUGCAGAGUUAUGAUGGAGUGAAAACUCACUUGAGAUGUGAUGGUAUUCUUCAAGGUUACACUAAGUGGGUUUGCCAUGGAGAGGAUUAUAGUGAACCAUCAUUUGCAUUUGCUCAUGUAUCAUAUAACAGUGGCAAUCUUUCUAUUCCUGGCAUCCCAAGGAAUGUUGUUGGAGAAGGCAACCAUGGAAGGUUGGAUGACAUGCCAGGACUAUUAAGUGCUGUCUUUGCUAUGGCUAACAGUUGUGAAUCUUUAUCAAGCACAUCUGAUGGUGAAUUAGAUGGCGUUGAAUUUGAGAAUAUGGUACCUAAUUCAGUUGAGGAUGAGAAUGCAGAUGCUCAAACAAGGAAGAAACCUGAUACAUAUGCAAGCUUCUUGGAGGAUGCAAACAUGGAGUUAUACCCUGGAUGUAAAGCAUUUUCUAAGUUGUCAUUUCUCAUCACCUUGUAUCACAUGAAAUGCUUACAUGGAUGGUCACAAGAAUCAUUUACAACGCUACUUGGUGUUUUGUCUGAUGCACUUCCACAGGCACAACUACCAAAGAAGUACUAUGAGGUACAAAAAAUCAUCCAUGGCUUAGGCCUUGACUACGAGAAAAUUCAUGCAUGCCCCAAUGAUUGCAUGCUUUUCCGAGGUGAACGAGCUGAUCAAGAGUCUUGCCAUGUGUGUGGCAGCUCGCGUUGGGUUACAAAUGAGAAGAAAGACUCCCAAGCUGAAUCUGUAUCUAAGCAGAAGAAGAAACCAGCCAAGGUGUUGCGUUACUUUCCUUUGAUACCGAGGAUUCAAAGGCUCUUUGCAACAACAAAAACAUCAGAUGACAUGCCUUGGCAUGAUGAGGGUCGUACCAAAGAUGGAAAGAUACGACAUCCAGCUGAUGGCGAGUGUUGGAAAGAUCUUGAUGCUAGAUACCCCAGUUUUGCUGCUGAUCCUCGUAAUCCGUGCCUUGGCAUUUCGAGUGAUGGAUUUAACCCUUUUCGGAGUAUGAGUUCAAAACAUAGUACUUGGCCAGUGAUGCUUAUCCCGUACAACCUACCGCCUUGGAUUUGCAUGAAAGAAACAUCUCUAAUUUUAUCGAUGAUCAUUCCUGGACCAGCUUCCCCUGGGAAUGACAUUGAUAUAUAUUUGUAG
rnacentral:rRNA from 1 species